rnacentral:rRNA from 1 species
GUGCCAGCAGCCGCGGUAAUACCGGCAGCCCAAGUGAUGGCCGCUGUUAUUGGGCCUAAAGCGUCCGUAGCUGGCCAGACAAGUCUGUUGGGAAAUCCACGUGCUCAACGCGUGGGCGUCCAGCGGAAACUGUCUGGCUUGGGGCCGGAGGACUCGAGGGGUACGUCCGGGGUAGGAGUGAAAUCCUGUAAUCCUGGACGGACCGCCGGUGGCGAAAGCGCCUCGAGAGGACGGACCCGACAGUGAGGGACGAAAGCCAGGGUCUCGACCCGGAUUAGAUACCCUGUAGUCC